rnacentral:rRNA from 1 species
UACGUAGGGGGGCGAGCGUUGUCCGGAUUUAUUGGGCGUAAAGAGCCCGUAGGCGGUUCGGUAAGUCGAAUGUGAAAUCUCCACGCUCAACGUGGAGGGGUCAUUCGAAACUGCCGUGACUUGAGUACGGUAGGGGAGUGUGGAAUUCCCGGUGUAGCGGUGAAAUGCGCAGAGAUCGGGAGGAACACCCGUAGCGAAGGCGGCACUCUGGGCCGAUACUGACGCUGAGGAGCGAAAGCGUGGGGAGCAAACAGG